rnacentral:rRNA from 1 species
AUUGAACGCUGGCGGCAGGCCUAACACAUGCAAGUCGAACGGUAACAGGAAACAGCUUGCUGUUUCGCUGGCGAGGGGCGGACGGGUGAGUAAUGUCUGGGAAACUGCCUGAUGGAGGGGGAUAACUACUGGAAACGGUAGCUAAUAGCGCAUAACGUCGCAAGACCAAAGAGGGGGAGCUUCGGGCCUCGGGCCGGCGGGUGUGCCCGGAUGGGAUUGGCUAGGGGGUGGGGUAACGGCUCACCUAGUCGGCGAUCCGUAGCUGGUGUGAGAGGCUGAGGAGCCACCCUGGAACUGAGCCAGCCUCCAUACUCCUACGGUAGGCACCAGUGGGGAACAUUGCGCAAUGGUCGCAAGCCUGAUGCAGUGAUGCCGCGUGUAUUACGGAGGCCUUCCGGUUGUGAUGUACUUUCAGCGGUGAGGAAGCGCGUAAAGUUAAUACCUUUCCUCAUUGACGUUACCCGCAGAAGAAGCACCGGCUAACUACGUG